ACAAGUAAAGCCACUCACUAUCUGUAUUUUCUGAAAGUAUUUCUAUCUUAUGUUUCUGGAGAUCUUUCUGUAUAUUUUACAUUGGCUUGUAAAAAAACAUUUAUUCACAUUUUUGACUUUAUAGCUGUGGAGAACGGUCAGCAUCCAGAAGAAAUCAUAUUUCUUCCAUAAGUAUGAAAAAACCAAAACAGGUAAACACCAAGAAGUGAGUUGAAUGUUGAACAAAGCAAACAUAUAGAAAAUAAUAAUUGUUCUUGCAAAUAAAUAAUUAUGUGCAAGAACAAAGAAUAAAUAAAGAAUAAGGAAAAACACUGGAUCUUAUUUAUUUCCCUCUUCUCCCUUGGUCCUUCCUUUGCCACAGCAUUAACUCACCAUGAAAUGUUUUCUAAAAACACAGAAUAUAUUUUAUUUAACUAUUUGAGUUAGUGUUUAUGUAUUGCCAACUGUUGCUCCAUUAAUAUCUGUUAUGUAAGUAGAUCUAGACAUUGUGAGUUACUGAUUUUUAUCCUAUUUUUCCAGUUUCUCAGUGUUGUUUUCUUGUUUCCUUGGUGAUAGUCAGAGCCACAAGCAGUGGAGUUUGGGUCUGAUGGAGUUCAUCUUCAGUUCAUCCAGAUUACCAAGUGAGCAGACAGAGGGGGAUUGUGGGAUGUUGUGGUUCUUAACGUGCAUCCUGUGAUUCAUCAGUAGAUUCUCCACUGACACAAGAAAUGUGUUGCUGACAUUUUACUGAUGUUCAACAGAUUUCUUAUGAAUACAGUUUUAAAACUGAGGAACAUUAACACUAACUGGUUCAAAUGCCUGUGAUGGACUGGUGACCAGUUCAUGGUGGCUCCGCCUCUCACCUGUUGGUGGUACCAGCACCUUCCCGACCUGUUACUGUACAAAUAAACUGGACUUGGAUGGAUGGUUCAAAUACUGUUAAAUAAAAUAGUUUUGACAUUUUCUGGACAUAUUUGUCUUGAAAAGUGUUGCCAUUAUUUUGGGUUCUGUAAAUAAUAAUAAACUAAACUUUUUAUUUAAACAAUAA